CUGCAGCCCGAGUAGUGAUCGUUAUUAUUGGGCCUAAAACGUCCGUAGCCUGUUUGGUAAAUGCUUGGGUAAAUCGUGUGGCUUAACCAUACGAAUACCGGGUAGACUGCCAGACUUGAGACCGGGAGAGGUUGGAGGUACUCCUGGGGUAGAGGUGAAAUUCUGUAAUCCUGGGGGGACCACCAGUGGCGAAGGCGUCCAACCAGAACGGGUCUGACGGUGAGGGACGAAGCCCUGGGGCGCAAACCGGAUUAGAGACCCGAGUAGUCC
rnacentral:rRNA from 1 species